AUUGAACGCUGGCGGCAUGCCUUACACAUGCAAGUCGAACGGUAACAGGUCUUCGGAUGCUGACGAGUGGCGAACGGGUGAGUAAUACAUCGGAACGUGCCCGAUCGUGGGGGAUAACGAAGCGAAAGCUUUGCUAAUACCGCAUACGAUCUACGGAUGAAAGCAGGGGACCGCAAGGCCUUGCGCGAACGGAGCGGCCGAUGGCAGAUUAGGUAGUUGGUGGGAUAAAAGCUUACCAAGCCGACGAUCUGUAGCUGGUCUAAGAGGACGACCAGCCACACUGGGACUGAGACACGGCCCAGACUCCUACGGGAGGCAGCAGUGGGGAAUUUUGGACAAUGGGCGAAAGCCUGAUCCAGCCAUGCCGCGUGCAGGAUGAAGGCCUUCGGGUUGUAAACUGCUUUUGUACGGAACGAAAAGACUCUGGUUAAUGGUGGUGACGGUACCCGCAGAAGAAGCACCGGCCAACUACGUGCCAGCCGCCGCAGUAAGAC
rnacentral:rRNA from 1 species